UAAUGACUGGUGCACACAGGCAAACAACUAUUCAGAACAGCACGCCAGAAGGAUGCCUUAAAACAUCAGAACAGAGGCCAAUAUAACUAGUCAUCAGCAUAGACACAGCUCCAUGGCUUUGCCCUUCCUUAUCCAAAGGACUGAUUUAAACAUCAGCUCCAGGAAGCCUUCCCUUGUUUCCCAGAUAGAAGUAAUCAUCCACAUCUGCAGUUCUUGGCAGUGCUACUGCUGUUGGAAGAGUGCUUUGGUAUGCCUGGAGUUGCAGCAAUCAAGAUUAAACAGGCUUCUCUGAAGGAGGGAGGGUAGAGUGGUCCUAACGCAGGGCAAAAUUUGAGGUGAGAG